CCGAAGAAAGAGCCAAGCUAUGCUUGUGGGGGAGGAUAUCCGCGGUUGGGGUCCGAAGCCAAAGGACUAGCCUUGGGCAGAGGGUCUGAGUGGGUGGCUCUGGAGGAGGUGGGAAUGAGAGACAGCCUGGGGGAGGGGACUGAGGAGCUGCCCGGGGCUACUGGCAGGGUUGCAGGGGAUGGGCUAAAGAAACAGCCCUGGAGGAGUGUGUCUGAGAGGGUGGCACUGGAGAAGAGAGGGCAGGAAAGGAUGGGGAGACAAAGAGACAGAUUUAAGAGACAUUGGGCAAAGAAGAAGAAGGAAAGGAAUUUGGUGUAAUGGCAAGUCCAGGAAGAUGGAUGGUAGUAUUUUCAUAGAAAUGGAGUUGUCAUGGGAGAAAGUGGCUUGAGGGAGGUGAGUAGGAGUUUGGUUUUUGGCUUGCUGAGAUUGAGGUAACCACAAGAUCCCUGAGAUGGGUAUAGGAAUAAGUUCAGAAGAGGGUGGAAAAUGGAUAUUUUAGAAACUUUCAGGUCAGCAUGAUAGUUGAGACUGGAAUACUGGAGAAGAAAAGAGCAAAAGACUGAGGGCUCCAUGUUGAGACAUACAUAUUCAUUUUCAAGAGUGGCCAAAAAGACUGAGGAAUCAGAGUUGUGGGGUAUAUGGGAAAGGGGAGGAGUGUUUCAAGGAGAGGGCGAGAGUUGACAGUGUUAGGGAGAUCACAGAGAUUGAAGACUGCAUACAAACUGUUGAAUUGAGCUGCCCAUGGUCUAGUAGGGAGAUGGAGACUGAAGCAAGUCAUUGUGGUUACGUGAUAAAUUAUGACAGAGAUGGGAACAAAGUGUUAUGGAAAUAUUGAGGAAAGAGUAACGAACUUCCCAAAUUUGGAAGAUUUGGAAGUGGGUAUAUUCCAGAAGGAGGAAAUAGUACAUUCAAGGAGUGAAAGGGAACAGACUGGACUGAGCUUCUUAAGGACAAGAUCUGUCUUAUUCAUCUCCUUACUCCUAAUGCCAAAUGCUCAUUGAACUGCUAAUGAUGAUAUGGGGCUAAAGUGGUCUGUGAGCCAACUACCAAGUAUGGUGGAUGUGGGUGACAGCAGGUGAUGAAUGAUAAAGAAGAAAGAUGCUGGUAUAAGCAAAUGGAUGCUUAUAAAGCGUAUGCCUAAGGUUAAGUCCCUAGUUGGGAAGGUCCAGAGACCAUUGUAAGCCAGCCAAAGAGGAGGUUUAGAAGGCUUCAGAGUAACACCCUAAGAUGGAAUUACCAGGGCACUGACUUCUCUUUUCCUUUUGUUCAUGGAAAAAGCACUGGACUUAGAGUCAGAUACCUGGAUUCAAAUAUUGGCUGUCGCUAAUUUGGAGUGCGCCUUUGGGCAAGUUGUUUCAUCUCUUUGAGUCUUGGUUUCCUCACUUGUGAAAUAAAGUGCCUUCUCCACUUCAUGAGGAAGACCACAUGAAUGAGGCUUCAGGACAUGUCACAACAGAUUGACUGCAGAAGCAGAUGGGAAAAAUAAAGUCUACAUGCUGACUGAGAAUGAUCCAGUAGAGAGGGAAAAAUUGAUGCUGCAGGAGAGAAUUGCUGGAGCAGUGUCCUUGAAUACGCAAGUGUACAGGUGGAGAGCUUGGCUAUGUGCUUGGAUAAUCCAUCCAUGGUAAGAGGAAGGAAGAGGACUUUUAGGAGUACAAAUUUGGUGCCAUUGUGGAGAAGAGAUUAGAGGGGGAACUUGCAGCUAUUGGUUACUUUUUGUCCACACUGUGCUAGAUGCUUUCCUCACAGCAGUCCUUGAUGUAAGAGGGAGAUGGGUUAUGAGGCUGUUGCAAUGAGGCAAGUAAAGUUGAG
ensembl:lncRNA